rnacentral:lncRNA from 1 species
GAAGGAAAUGCAUCCCAACCUAUCCUUUCAUGAUGGACAAGCACUCCUUCAUGACGGAGCAGGAUAUGCCUUCUGUACCAUGUGGUACAAAUCAAACAUCACUCCUGAAUCCUGCUAUGAAGAUGAACUCUAUAAUCUGGUCGAAGUAAAACUCACUGCACAAGACUUCUACUGUGAUUCUGAAGGCAACAGUAUGGUCUUGAUUCAUCUACCUCCGGAACUCAAGCAUUUGUACCGUCAUUGGGACACUGCCAUUCCACAUGUCCCUGUGACCAAGUUGAAAACAAUAUCAUGGAAUGAUCUUGGGC